UACAGAGGUCUCAAGCGUUGUUCGGAUUCAUUGGGCGUAAAGGGUGCGUAGGUGGCGCGCUAAGUCGGGUGUGAAAUCUCGGAGCUUAACUCCGAAAUUGCAUUCGAUACUGGCGUGCUUGAGGACUGGAGAGGAGACUGGAAUUCAUGGUGUAGCAGUGAAAUGCGUAGAGAUCAUGAGGAAGACCAGUGGCGAAGGCGGGUCUCUGGACAGUUCCUGACACUGAGGCACGAAGGCCAGGGAAGCAAACGGG
rnacentral:rRNA from 1 species